CGCACGCACCCGUCUCCCCCGCGCGAAGAAGACCCAUCUCCUUCUUCUCUCUCCCUCUGUCCCGUGCUGCGAGCCCAGAAACCGGAGAGGAACUCCGGCGAAACCUUUAUUUUCCCGGUUGGGACGAAUCGAAGCCGGGUGUAAGCACACCCAACUCCGGCGAUCCCGAGGGUGUCGGGGCUUUUUCCGGCCAUCUCCGGUCGUUCCACGACGAAAGGAAGGACCUACGAACGAGGAUUACGAUAUAAGCUACGAGGCCUUUCCCUACCAGUGAUCCAGUGCUAUACUUCUUCUGCUUCGACAUCUUUUGUAAUAUAGCACAUCUCUAUCUUAAAUUAUGUUUGUACUCUGUAAUAGACGUAUGCUCUGACAUUAUGCGUGGAUCCUAAUGUUGUUAAUUAGAAGUUGAUUUGGUAGUA